rnacentral:rRNA from 1 species
UACGUAGGGUGCAAGCGUUAAUCGGAAUUACUGGGCGUAAAGCGUGCGCAGGCGGUUAUGCAAGACAGAUGUGAAAUCCCCGGGCUUAACCUGGGAACCGCAUUUGUGACUGCAUAGCUGGAGUACGGCAGAGGGGGAUGGAAUUCCGCGUGUAGCAGUGAAAUGCGUAGAUAUGCGGAGGAACACCGAUGGCGAAGGCAGUCCCCUGGGCCUGUACUGACGCUCAUGCACGAAAGCGUGGGGAGCGAAA